rnacentral:rRNA from 1 species
GUUACAGCCGCCGCGGUAAUACGGAGGGCGCAAGCGUUGUUCGGAAUUACUGGGCGUAAAGCGCAUGUAGGCGGCCUGGCAAGUCGGGUGUGAAAUCCCGGAGCUCAACUCCGGAACUGCAUCCGAUACUGCCAGGCUCGAGUCUCGGAGAGGAUGGCGGAAUUUCCGGUGUAGAGGUGAAAUUCGUAGAUAUCGGAAGGAACACCAGUGGCGAAGGCGGCCGUCUGGACGAUGACUGACGCUGAGAUGCGAAAGCGUGGGGAGCAAACAUGAUUAGAUACCCCGGUAGUCC